GACCUGGAGGCAGCCGGAGGGAAGAGGAGAAGCCAGGAGUCUGGGUGGGCCUGAAGGUUCCAGCCACAGAUGGCGGGACGCUUAAACACAGCUCCUCUGUGGCCCGGAAACCAAACUCCUGUGGGGUGGGGUGCGUGGGGGUGUAACUGUGACUGCUGGCUGGAUAACUGCGUGAAGGAAGCUGCGGCUAGGGUUAGCACUUGGCGUCUGGCUCGUGUAUCAUGAGCUCAUGUCCAUUCCUAGAGGCUGUUGAAACGGUUCCCAGAGCUGUCAGCUGGGACAGCGAGCUUGUGCGAGCCACAAAAUGCUGGGCCAGAGGCAGGAUGACGAUCUCCAGGACCUCCUCACACUGGCAGGACUCCAGGGGGAUGAUGUCUUCCUCGACUGUCCUCAGCCUGGUUAUAAUGAGGUCAAAGAACCCCAAGAUCCUGUCUUUUAUUUCUUCAGGACUGUUUAAAUGCAAAAAUAAAUAGGAGAUAAACAGGAAAGCAACCAACUCCGAGGACCUAAGGGACAGCAACACCACAACCCAGGAGCGGUCUGAGUGCCAGACUAACUGCAGCCAGCCACUUGUUAAGCUUUACCAGGGUAUCACAGGAGCAGGACGUAGACCAUCCCUCCGUUUCAGGAAGCCUCUGAGAUUGACAACGGUACCCUAACUCCUCCACCCUGCGCUAAUGGAAAUAGCAAUUUAACCAUCCUGAACAAAGUGACUCAGUUUCAAGUGGGAAAAUACAGAUAAAAUUUAAAUGAAAUGCCCCAAAAUGCUGACUCCAGGAUGGAGAAUCUUGAAGUGAAAGCCUUUUGCUGAACCAGAUGUCAGCAGAGAUGAUCUUAUAAUAGAAAACAAAGGAGGACUGUCUAAUCCAGCUGACUCCAUUCUGGGAGAGGAAAAACCAUAGGGCCAGGGAGGAACUGUCUCCUGAUCGGAUUUGCUGGUGGCAGAGGCAAGGCUACUACAGGGUGGGCUAGCUCCAAGCCACGGCCUCCCUCCACAGACCUCCCAAUUUCUAGAAAUGCCUUGUGAGCAUCUCAGGAGUUGUCUUUUAUUCCCUUCCACCACGGAGCAAGCGGCCGGCCCUGCUCGUGCCACCAGGCCUCCUGCAGAGCCCUCUCCUGCGGACUUCUCCCACUUGCCCUCAGAGGUGGAGGCUGAAUGCGUUGGGCUUUCUCUGCCCUGGUCCUGGAAAGCUUCUCUUGGAGGCCAGUAGAAGGAAGGAAAGGGACCAGGGAUGGAGAGGGAAGGAAAGGGGAGAUACUGGGAGUGAUACUGACCAGAUUACAUCGUUAUCUUGUCAUCUGCAUGAGUAUGUACCAAUGAAUCCCACUCUCAUGUGUAAUUACAGAGCACCAAUAAAAAUACAGAAGAAGUAAAACUGCUCUGGUCAAGGUUCCCAGUGGCUCCUGCAUUGCCGAGUGGAAAGGCUGUGCAUUUGCCCACAUUUGAUUCCCCUUCGGCUAUUUCAUGUGCCCGUGACUUUAAAUCCCAUCUAUGUGCCGAUGACUUUCAAUUUCAUAUGCCUAAGCCCUGACAUCUACUCUAGCUACAUGCCUACACAUCCAAAAUCCUCCUUGGCCAGAGCCACUUGGAUGCCUAACAGGCAUUGCAAAGUCACCGUGUUCACACAGAGCUCUUGAAUCUCUCCUCCACACACCUAGACCCACACACAUCUUUCCUAAUUUAGCAUUGCUGGUUGCCAUGGUUCAUUGCCUCAAGGCAAGAACCCAGGCAGAGGCUAGAUUCCCUGCUCUCCCCACCCUUCCUCAUUCAGCUCAGCAGCAUAUCCGGUGGACUCCACCCAGGAACACACCUGAAUCCUUUCUGUUUGCCCACCUUCUCUUGGCACUGCCCUCCAGCAUUGCCAAGACUUUCUCUGGACAGGAGCGGAGCCCCGUCCCAUUCAGACUGUUUCUAUAGAGAAGAUGGAGUGGGUCUUUAACAACCUGACCUGGAUCUCUGGCAGAAGCUGCUGGUCCCCAGCUCCAUCUCUUUCCCUCCGUCCCUUCUUACUAACAAAACUCAAUUUUAUUCAGAAUAGUUAUAUUUUCCAGCCUCCCUUGCAGCUGAAUACAGUCAUGAGUUCAAACUCCGUGAUGGAAUGUAGAGGAAAUAUUGGGCAGGACUUCUAGAGAAUUCCUCACAGGGGAGGGAUCCCUUUCUUCUUCCCCUUCUCCUCCUCCUCCUUCCUUCUUUCUCCUGGCACUAAAUGGGAACAUGAGGGCUGCAGUUCCAGCAGCUAUUUUGGUUCCUGAUGUGCUAGUGUCUUGUGAGAAGAACAUUUUACAUAAGAGCAAAAUGAACUUGUGCUGAGGGCCAUUACCAAGUAGGAAUGACGCAUCGAAAUUUCCUUGCUAAGCGUACCCCAUGCUGCUUAGAGGACAUUCGAUGGGACAUUGCAUGCAUGCUUUA